AUGAGAAUCCCCCGCACAUCUACGCCCUCACGGACAACAUGUACCGGAACAUGCUUAUCGACUGUGAGAACCAGUGUGUCAUCAUUAGUGGAGAGAGUGGAGCUGGGAAGACAGUGGCAGCCAAAUAUAUCAUGGGCUACAUCUCCAAGGUGUCUGGCGGAGGCGAGAAGGUCCAGCACGUCAAAGAUAUCAUCCUGCAGUCCAACCCGCUGCUCGAGGCCUUCGGCAACGCCAAGACUGUGCGCAACAACAAUUCCAGCCGCUUUGGCAAGUACUUUGAGAUCCAGUUCAGCCGAGGUGGGGAGCCAGAUGGGGGCAAGAUCUCCAACUUCUUGCUGGAGAAGUCCCGCGUGGUCAUGCAAAAUGAAAAUGAGAGGAACUUCCACAUCUACUACCAGCUGCUGGAAGGGGCCUCCCAGGAGCAAAGGCAGAACCUGGGCCUCAUGACACCAGACUACUAUUACUACCUCAACCAAUCGGACACCUACCAGGUGGACGGCACGGACGACAGAAGCGACUUUGGUGAGACUCUGGUGAGCACCGGCCUCCACUCCAGUCCCCGGCCAGGCAGACCUCAGCCCCAGAAACCCUCCUGAGUUACAAAUUAGGAAACCGAAGCCCAGGCCAGGCAUGUGGCUCAAGCCUGUAAUCCCAGCACUUUGGGAGGCCGAGGCAGGUGGAUCACUUAAGGUCAGGAGUUUAAGACCGGCCUGGCCAACGUGGUUAAACCCCGUCUCUACUUAAAAUACAAAAAUUAGCCAGGUGUGGUGGUGCAUGACUGUAAUCCCAGCUACUGGGGAGGCAGAGGCAGGAGAAUUGCUUGAAAACGGGAGGUGGAAGUUGCAGUGAG
rnacentral:sRNA from 1 species